GAUGAAGAACGCAGCGAAAUGCGAUAACUAAUGUGAAUUGCAGAAUUCCGUGAAUCAUCGAGUCUUUGAACGCACAUUGCGCCCCCUGGUAUUCCGGGGGGCAUGCCUGUCCGAGCGUCAUUGCUGCCCAUCAAGCACGGCUUGUGUGUUGGGUCCCGUCCCCCUCUCCCGGGGGACGGACCCGAAAGGCAGCGGCGGCACCGCGUCCGGUCCUCGAGCGUAUGGGGCUUUGUCACCCGCUCUUGUAGGCCCGGCCGGCGCUUGCCGACACCCAACCAUUUUUUUCAGGUUGAACUCGGAUCAGGUAGGGAUACCCGCUGAACUUAAGCAUAUCAAUAAGCGGAGGA
rnacentral:misc_RNA from 1 species